rnacentral:rRNA from 1 species
UACGGAAGGCAGCAGUGGGGAAUAUUGCACAAUGGGCGCAAGCCUGAUGCAGCCAUGCCGCGUGUAUGAAGAAGGCCUUCGGGUUGUAAAGUACUUUCAGUCGUGAGGAAGGUGUUAAGGUUAAUAACCUUAGCAAUUGACGUUAGCGACAGAAGAAGCACCGGCUAACUCCGUGCCAGCAGCCGCGGUAAUACGGAGGGUGCGAGCGUUAAUCGGAAUUACUGGGCGUAAAGGGCACGCAGGCGGUUAAUUAAGUUGGAUGUGAAAUCCCCGGGCUUAACCUGGGAAUGGCAUUCAAGACUGGUUAGCUAGAGUCUUGUAGAGGGGGUAGAAUUCCAUGUGUAGCGGUGAAAUGCGUAGAGAUGUGGAGGAAUACCGGUGGCGAAGGCGGCCCCUGGACAAAGGCUGACGCUUAUGUGCGAAAGCGUGGGGAGCAAACAGGGAUUAGAUACC